AUUGAACGCUGGCGGCAUGCUUUACACAUGCAAGUCGAACGGUAACAGGGAGCUUGCUCCGCUGACGAGUGGCGAACGGGUGAGUAAUGCGUCGGAACGUGCCGAGUAGUGGGGGAUAACGCAGCGAAAGUUGUGCUAAUACCGCAUACGUACUGAGGUAGAAAGUGGGGGACCUUCGGGCCUCACGCUAUUCGAGCGGCCGACGACUGAUUAGCUAGUAGGUGAGGUAAAGGCUCACCUAGGCGACGAUCAGUAGCGGGUCUGAGAGGAUGAUCCGCCACACUGGGACUGAGACAAGGCCCAGACUCCUACGGGAGGCAGCAGUGGGGAAUUUUGGACAAUGGGCGAAAGCCUGAUCCAGCCAUGCCGCGUGUCUGAAGAAGGCCUUCGGGUUGUAAAGGACUUUUGUCGGGGAGGAAAUCCCCAGCGCUAAUACCGCUGGGGGAUGACAGUACCUGAAGAAUAAGCACCGGCUAACUACGUGCCAGCCGCCGCGGUAAUAC
rnacentral:rRNA from 1 species